rnacentral:tRNA from 1 species
GGUGGCUCAGCGGUAGAGCUCUUGCCUUGCAAGCAUGAGGCCCUGGGUUCGAUUCCUCAGCACCA